GAUGAACGCUAGCGGCAGGCCUAAUACAUGCAAGUCGAGGGGCAGCACGGGUAGCAAUAUCUGGUGGCGACCGGCGCACGGGUGCGUAACACGUAUACAAUCUGCCUUUUACAGGGGAAUAGCCCGGAGAAAUUCGGAUUAAUGCCCCACAAUAGAUUUACUGGCAUCAGUAGAUUUUGAAAGCUCCGGCGGUAAAAGAUGAGUAUGCGCAUGAUUAGUUAGUUGGUAGUGUAAUGGACUACCAAGGCAACGAUCAUUAGGGGAUCUGAGAGGACUACCCCCCAAACUGGUGCUGGGACACGGACCAGACUCCUACGGGAGGCAGCAGUAAGGAAUAUUGGUCAAUGGAGGCAACUCUGAACCAGCCAUGCCGCGUGCAGGAUGAAUGCCCUAUGGGUAGUAAACUGCUUUUAUACGGGAGAAAACCCGGGUACGUGUACCCGGUUGAUAGUACUGUAAGAAUAAGGAUCGGCUAACUUCGUGCCAGCCGCCGCAGUAACAC
rnacentral:rRNA from 1 species